rnacentral:lncRNA from 1 species
UGAGAGAAGGAAAUGUUUCAAAAAAGAACAAAAUCCAGUAGUAAAAGGCAUAUAUCAUAAAAAAGAAAAAGAAUGUACUUUGACAAUAAAAAAGAAAAAGAAAGAAAAGAAAAGUAAAAAUGUCAAAGAAUACCGAAAAGGAAAAGUCACUAAAAUAAGAAGUUGUAAGGUGGGAAAGAAAAAAUAUCUUUUGGAAAAACAAAAA